CGCGAUCCCAGCCCAGAAGCCUGGCGCAGGAGAGGAGCAGCAAAAAGCUGGUGUGUGGUGGAAUGAGGCCUGGAUUUUGAGUCCAGCAGGAAGACAGACAGAUCCCAGGGAAAUUUGGGAAGAUGGAAACUGGUCUGUAACAGCUAGGAGAACAGAAUCAACGGUGGAGCAGUGCUCUCAAACUUGCCCAGCCAAGAUUUCUGGUACUUCAGAGGUAGUUGAUGACAUGUCAAGAACCUGGACUUGGAAGCCAGACAGUCCUGAGCUUGAACCUCAGCUCUGGAGCUUACUCACCAGUGACCUUGGGCAGACCAAAGCUGCAGGAUGUCAGAUCUAAAAUAAUACAAGGCCUACCUUUCAGAGCCGUUCUAAUGGAAAGGGCCUUGCACAGUGUCUGGCCUACAAUGGGUACUCCGCAAAUGCAAGUUACUGCUUCUCUCUCACCUUGACGGUCCCCCUACUUCACUCUCUACUAUGUCUGUGAUUCUUUUUCUCAACAUUCCACUCUUCUGAGUGAAAAGCAGCUGUGGAUGAGAAGUGAGGGUGAAUGGUGCUCAGGGAAUCACAUCACAUGUUUGCCCCCCUCUCCCUAUGUGGUGGUUAACAUAUGCCCA
rnacentral:lncRNA from 10 species